CAAUAGCGUAUAUUAAAGUUGUUGCGGUUAAAAAGCUCGUAGUUGGAUUUCUGCCGAGGACGACCGGUCCGCCCUCUGGGUGAGUAUCUGGCUCGGCCUGGGCAUCUUCUUGGAGAACGUAGCUGCACUUGACUGUGUGGUGCGGUAUCCAGGACUUUUACUUUGAGGAAAUUAGAGUGUUUCAAGCAGGCUUACGCCUUGAAUACAUUAGCAUGGAAUAAUAAGAUAGGACCUCGGUUCUAUUUUGUUGGUUUCUAGAGCUGAGGUAAUGAUUAAUAGGGAUAGUUGGGGGCAUUCGUAUUUAACUGUCAGAGGUGAAAUUCUUGGAUUUGUGAAAGACGGACUACUGCGAAAGCAUUUGCCAAGGAUGUUUUCAUUGA
rnacentral:rRNA from 1 species